rnacentral:rRNA from 2 species
GGAUGCGAUCAUACCAGCACUAAAGCACCGGAUCCCAUCAGAACUCCGAAGUGAAGCGUGCUUGGGCGAGAGUAGUACUAGGAUGGGUGACCUCCUGGGAAGUCCUCGUGUUGCAUUCC